UAUCUCUGUAGAGUCUGCAUAUCAAUAAGCGGAGGAAAAGAAACUAACAAGGAUUCCCUUAGUAACGGCGAGUGAAGCGGGAAGAGCUCAAAUUUGAAAUCUUCAAGGUUCUACCUUGACGAAUUGUAGUUUAAAGAAGUGUUUUCUGUUAGAUGAGUAGCAGAAGUUCUUUGGAAUAGGGACAUCAUAGAGGGUGAGAAUCCCGUAUUUGACCUAUUAUUUCCUAGCUUUGUGAUACACUUUCAAAGAGUCGGAUUGUUUGGGAAUGCAGUCCAAAAUGGGUGGUAAAUUUCAUCUAAAGCUAAAUAUUGGCGAGAGACCGAUAGCGAACAAGUACCGUGAGGGAAAGAUGAAAAGAACUUUGAAAAGAGAGUUAAACAGUACGUGAAAUUGUCAAAAGGGAAGCGUUUGACACCAGUGUUGUUUUCCGAAAAUCAAUUACGAAUGGCUUGAUUUUGUGUUGUAUUGACCUUAUCAGCUUUCUUCACUUUUUUCGAGUCUUUCUUAACGCACUUUUCGGUUAACAAGUCAACAUCAAUUUCUUUUGUUGUAAAAGAGUAUUCGGAAGGUGGCUUUCUUUUCGGAGAAAGUGUUUAUAGCCCUAUACUUCUACAAUCGGAGAGAUUGAGGUCUGCAGCGUAGAUCCUUCGGGGUUAGAUACACUUGUGCUAAGUUGUAGCUUUUCAUAGACAACUUGUUGACUAUGUUUAGUCAUGCGGCUUACUCGCUUGUGCUAUUUUACCUACGCUUAGGAUGUUGACUGAUAUGUAGUCGU
rnacentral:rRNA from 1 species